UGAUGGAGCUUGCACUGCUGUGCAGUGAAAAAAUAGAAGUGAAAUAGUCUAUUUCUGACUUUCAAAUCAGAAACUGGACAAAGGGGGUUGGGACCGAAGAAUUUCCCUGUGAAGUUCUUUCCUCCAGGUUGGGAUGCUUUUGUUGUACCUGCGCCUGCACGUGUUAUCUCUUCGUCGUAGCUGCUGCUGUAUUUGUGUCUCUGUGUGUACAUGUGGUUGCACGUGUUGUCUCUUCGUCGUAGCUGCUGCUGUAUUUGUGUCUCUGUGCUGCUGACCCGUACAUGCUGCUGCGCUGCUUUGUUGUUGACACGUGCACCUUUUUGUGCUGAGUACACCACCUUUUGUGCUGACGAGGGCACCAAUUUCUGAUAUCAUGUUUUCCUUUUGCCAUGUCGUUGUCAGUUGUCAGACGUUCGUUGUCAGAGUCAGUUGUCCGACGGUCGUCGUCUGUUGUCAGUCGUUCGUUGUCAGAGUCAGACGUUUGUUGACAGUCGUCAGUCAUUCGUUGUCAGUGUUAGUUCUCCAUUAUGAGUUCUUCCGUCGCCGCUUGAAGUAAACUAUGAAAAGCUCUCUCUCUAGCUCUAGAGAAAAACCACUGACUAGUUCGUUUUGAGGUGUGGCGUGGCGAGGAUAGAAGAGGCAGUUCGUUCUCAACCUUCCGAGACGACAUUUGGCGCCCAACUAAUCGAACCCACGACCCUGAAGCUCGUCGCUCUCCGGCCGGUGUUUUUCGUUUUCCUCUUCGCGUUCUCGCCAUGGCUCCGCUUUGCUGCGUCUGUUCAACCCUUUCCUAGAUCCUCGGAGCUCCUACUCAGUUUCUGUAGCGCCAUCGGUUUUCGGACAGCCGGCCAGUGUGCGUCCUGCUGCCCCAGUCUUCUUCUCGGCCGGUGCGUGCUGUUGGUCUCGCCGCUCCUGGAAGCGUCGCUGGGUCCGUCGGCAUAACCUGUUUUCUCAUGCAUUUGUACUUUUGUUUUGUCAUGACUGGUGGAUGGGUGGCGUACUAGGUUGGUGCUGUUCUAAGAAUAAAAGAUCCAAAGGGACAAACACAGGUCGAACAGCUCGCCAGCCGGGGUCCUCUGCAAAAUCUGUUGCUUGCAGGUUCCGUUGAUUGGUGCACAGUUUUGCGGGGCUCCCGACUGGUGUUAACCCUCCUGGCCUACUCGUCAUGCGUUCAACAGUUGUGGCCCACCUCUUUUGUGUUUUAUUGUCGCCUGUUUAUGUUGCUUCAUAUUUCAUUUCCCCUGUCUUUCUGUCUUCUUCUCCGGUCUGUCUCCUUCCGUUUUUUAUACACUUCACUUUUGCUUCCAUCCACAGGAGUGGAUGUCUUUUUUUGGUAGGGGAUAGUGUUGUACCUGCGCCUGCACGUGUUAUCUCUUCGUCGUAGCUGCUGCUGUAUUUGUGUCUCUGUGUGUACAUGUGGUUGCACGUGUUGUCUCUUCGUCGUAGCUGCUGCUGUAUUUGUGUCUCUGUGCUGCUGACCCGUACAUGCUGCUGCGCUGCUUUGUUGUUGACACGUGCACCUUUUUGUGCUGAGUACACCACCUUUUGUGCUGACGAGGGCACCAAUUUCUGAUAUCAUGUUUUCCUUUUGCCAUGUCGUUGUCAGUUGUCAGACGUUCGUUGUCAGAGUCAGUUGUCCGACGGUCGUCGUCUGUUGUCAGUCGUUCGUUGUCAGAGUCAGACGUUUGUUGACAGUCGUCAGUCAUUCGUUGUCAGUGUUAGUUCUCCAUUAUGAGUUCUUCCGUCGCCGCUUGAAGUAAACUAUGAAAAGCUCUCUCUCUAGCUCUAGAGAAAAACCACUGACUAGUUCGUUUUGAGGUGUGGCGUGGCGAGGAUAGAAGAGGCAGUUCGUUCUCAACCUUCCGAGACGACACUUUCAUGAACGUACAUGGACAAGGCCCACGGGCUCACUACCUGGUUACCAUCAAGCCUAUGAUUCGCCGUAGUCCAUGUACGUUCCUGCAGGACUCCUCUGGAUCUAUGGCAGUAGGGGAUCGUGCUGCCCGGCAGUUUGUCUCUUCCACAGAAAAGGGCAUUGAUUUUAAUCAUGAGCUUACCGCAGAGCACAACGAAAGCAUUGUAGCAUGAAACUAAUUUGUCUGAAUACAAAUCUGCACAAUGGCACAGACGGUUAAUGGAGGUAAAGCAUGGCAUCACCAGCAUUGUGUUGUACCUGCGCCUGCACGUGUUAUCUCUUCGUCGUAGCUGCUGCUGUAUUUGUGUCUCUGUGUGUACAUGUGGUUGCACGUGUUGUCUCUUCGUCGUAGCUGCUGCUGUAUUUGUGUCUGUGCUGCUGACCCGUACAUGCUGCUGCGCUGCUUUGUUGUUGACACGUGCACCUUUUUGUGCUGAGUACACCACCUUUUGUGCUGACGAGGGCACCAAUUUCUGAUAUCAUGUUUUCCUUUUGCCAUGUCGUUGUCAGUUGUCAGACGUUCGUUGUCAGAGUCAGUUGUCCGACGGUCGUCGUCUGUUGUCAGUCGUUCGUUGUCAGAGUCAGACGUUUGUUGACAGUCGUCAGUCAUUCGUUGUCAGUGUUAGUUCUCCAUUAUGAGUUCUUCCGUCGCCGCUUGAAGUAAACUAUGAAAAGCUCUCUCUCUAGCUCUAGAGAAAAACCA